rnacentral:rRNA from 1 species
CCUACGGGGGGCAGCAGUGGGGAAUAUUGCACAAUGGGCGCAAGCCUGAUGCAGCCAUGCCGCGUGUGUGAAGAAGGCCUUCGGGUUGUAAAGCACUUUCAGCGGGGAGGAAGGCGGUGAGGUUAAUAACCUCAUCGAUUGACGUUACCCGCAGAAGAAGCACCGGCUAACUCCGUGCCAGCAGCCGCGGUAAUACGGAGGGUGCAAGCGUUAAUCGGAAUUACUGGGCGUAAAGCGCACGCAGGCGGUCUGUCAAGUCGGAUGUGAAAUCCCCGGGCUCAACCUGGGAACUGCAUUCGAAACUGGCAGGCUAGAGUCUUGUAGAGGGGGGUAGAAUUCCAGGUGUAGCGGUGAAAUGCGUAGAGAUCUGGAGGAAUACCGGUGGCGAAGGCGGCCCCCUGGACAGAGACUGACGCUCAGGUGCGAAAGCGUGGGGAGCAAACAGGAUUAGAUACCCUUGUAGUC